GUAGGGUGCGAGCGUUAAUCGGAAUUACUGGGCGUAAAGCGUGCGCAGGCGGUUCGUUGUGUUUGUCGUGAAAGCCCCGGGCUCAACCUGGGAAUGGCGAUGAAAACUGGCGAGCUGGAGUGUGGCAGAGGGGGGUGGAAUUCCAGGUGUAGCAGUGAAAUGCGUAGAGAUCUGGAGGAACACCGAUGGCGAAGGCAGCCCCCUGGGCUGACACUGACGCUCAGGCACGAAAGCGUGGGGAGCAAACAGGAUUAGAUACCCUGGUAGUCCACGCCCUAAACGAUGGCAACUGGGUGUUGGGGGAGCGAUUCCUCAGUACCGUAGCUAACGCGUGAAGUUGCCCGCCUGGGGAGUACGGCCGCAAGGUUA
rnacentral:rRNA from 1 species